GGCGGAAUUGGUAGACGCGCUAGCUUCAGGUGUUAGUGUCCUUACGGACGUGGGGGUUCAAGUCCCAUAAGCG
rnacentral:tRNA from 2 species